ACAGGAGGCACCUACCGAAGAGAGGAGAGCGUUUGUUGCCCCUUUGUAACCUGGUGGAAUGUUUUGUUGAUCCUUGCAUGCUCGCUCUGUGUGCUGCGAACACGGUGUGCACGAGCUGCAACUGCCAGGCCAGGUGCUUGCCUGUAGGAACACUAGGUACUCUCUGAUGAAGACAAGAAUUAUUCAACUGUCCUGCCCUGCUGACAUCUUGUUUUCCAGGCAAAGAUCGACUAUAU